UAAACAACCUCAACUCAUAUGGGACUAC
rnacentral:rRNA from 1 species